AAGAGACCAGGUGUAAGUUUGUUUGUUAAGUAUGUUUAUUGUGUUGGCAUUUAACGUGCUAUGGCACUUUAAGAUAUUGAUUCAUAAUUUGUAUACAUUCCCCAAAUAAUAUUAUAAUGAAAUGAAUGAGAUAACUUCUUAUUUGAAUGAGAUCAACAUGACUUUCACCUAUUAAUAUAUAAUUUAUUGAAAAGAUUGAGUUGUCUAAAUUCUCCAAGUGCAAUGUAACAACUUAAUUCUAACAGUUAUCUUACUUAUCUAGCUUGAGAGUUAAGUAGAAUUAAUAGAAAGAGAUUUUGCUUUUAGGUGCAGUUUGAUAUAUUAGAUACUUUGGGAUGUCUAUUAUACAGUUAGUAUGUAUUCAAUUAAAAUAUGUGUAUGUGUU
rnacentral:lncRNA from 1 species